UACGUAGGGGGGCAAGCGUUGUCCGGAUUUAUUGGGCGUAAAGAGCGUGUAGGCGGCCAGGGUAGGUCAGCUGUGAAAACUCGAGGCUCAACCUCGAGACGCCGGUUGAAACCAUCUGGCUAGAGUCCGGAAGAGGAGAGUGGAAUUCCUGGUGUAGCGGUGAAAUGCGCAGAUAUCAGGAAGAACACCCGUGGCUAAGGCGGCUCUCUAGUACGGUACUGACGCUGAGACGCGAAAGCGUGGGGAGCGAACAGG
rnacentral:rRNA from 1 species